AGCGAACGCUGGCGGCAGGCCUAACACAUGCAAGUCGAACGAACUCUUCGGAGUUAGUGGCGGACGGGUGAGUAACACGUGGGAACGUGCCUUUUGGUUCGGAAUAACUCAGGGAAACUUGUGCUAAUACCGAAUGUGCCCUUCGGGGGAAAGAUUUAUCGCCAUUAGAGCGGCCCGCGUCUGAUUAGCUAGUUGGUGAGGUAACGGCUCACCAAGGCGACGAUCAGUAGCUUGUCUGAGAGGAUGACCAGCAACACUGGGACUGAGACACGGCCCAGACUCCUACGGGAGGCAGCAGUGGGGAAUCUUGCGCAAUGGGCGAAAGCCUGACGCAGCCAUGCCGCGUGAAUGAUGAAGGUCUUAGGAUUGUAAAAUUCUUUCACCGGGGACGAUAAUGACGGUACCCGGAGAAGAAGCCCCGGCUAACUUCGUG
rnacentral:rRNA from 1 species